UAAAAGUCAAUCAGCAGCCCUAAUGGCUACCGUCUACACCCAAGUCUUUUGUGUACUCAUUGUUUCCUCGGCGGCGUAAGUCGCCGAAUGGACAAAUCAAAACCUUUUUGUAAUUGCAAUCAGCGUCAUAAAUUAUAUUAAUAUUUACAACUUUCAACAACGGAUCUCUUGGUUCUGGCAUCGAUGAAGAACGCACCGAAAUGCGAUAAGUAGUGUGAAUUGCAAAAUUCAGUGAAUCAUCGAAUCUUUGAACGCACAUUGCGCCCCUUGGUAUUCCAUGGGGCAUGCCUGUUCGAGCGUCAUUUGUACCCUCAAGCUUUGCUUGGUGUUGGGCGUCUUGUCGGACUAUCCGACUCGCCUUAAAUACAUUGGCAGCCGGCACUUUGGCCUACGAGCGCAGCACAUUUUGCGAUCGUAAGCCGUUGUGACAGCAUCCAUAAGAUUUAUUUACCACGUUUGACCUCGGAUCAGGUAGGGAUACCCGCUGAACUUAAGCAUAUCAAUAAACGGAGGAA
rnacentral:rRNA from 1 species